GCCUGGGUGGCUCAGUCGGUUAAGCGUCUGACUUCAGCUCAGGUCACGAUCUCACGGUCCGUGAGUUCGAGCCCCGCGUCGGGCU
rfam:Felis catus isolate Cinnamon breed Abyssinian chromosome E1, whole genome shotgun sequence.